ACAGAUGCUCCUGAGAUUAAGGCUAUAUCCUUCUGCUCCUCAGAGGGAGAUAUGGUAAAGUGUGUGUGCAUUGUUGAGUCCAGGCCUCCCAGCAUGGUCCACUUUGUGCUUUCUGACAGAGUCCUGCCAAGCACCAAGGUAGAGAAACAUGACUCUGUUACCAUCGGGACUCUGCAAGCAGAGCUGGGAUCUUCUGCGUUUGUCCUCUGUCUGGCAAACAAUACGCAGGGCAAUGCCAACGUCACACUCUUUUUACCUGUUAACAACGCCCCAGUGAAUGUGAGGGUUGAGCACGAGUCAGCUGUAAAGGAAGGAAAACAGUGCAGCUGACGUGCUCCAGUGAUGCUCACCCUCCUGCCAGCAGCUAUGAGUGGUACAAUGAAACUGGUGCUCAACUGCAUCAGGGAAACGUCUUCAGGCUGCCAAAUGUCUCCAGACACCACUCAGGCACCUUGUACUGUACUGCCAUCAAUGAAGUAGGACGAGGCAAUUCAAGCCUUGUGCAGCUCAAUGUGUUAUAUGCUCCUGAGAUUAAGGCUAUAUCCUCCUGCUCCUCAGAGGGAGAUAUGGUAAAGUGUGUGUGCAUUGUUGAGUCCAGGCCUCCCAGCAUGGUCCACUUUGUGCUUUCUGACAGAGUCCUGCCAAGCACCAAGGUAGAGAAACAUGACUCUGUUACCAUCGGGACUCUGCAAGCAGAGCUGGGAUCUUCUGCGUUUGUCCUCUGUCUGGCAAACAAUACGCAGGGCAAUGCCAACGUCACACUCUUUUUACCUGUUAACAGUAGGAUGCAGAGUCUUUAUAUUAUCAUCGCCAUUGGAGCAGGUGCAAUUUUGGUGAUACUUUUAACAGCAGUGGGAGUUGUUAAAAAAUGUAGGGGGAGAUCUGGAGAGGAACCAACAUCGCACAUGAAAACCAUGCAGGCAGAAAAAGAUGUGGAGCUCUCUCAGUAUGCUGCAACAAAAAGAAAAGAGAACUAUGAUGAUGUGCAUUGCCCUGGCAUUUAUGCCAAUGAUCCUGUAUAUGGCAACAUGGAGGCUGACGAUGAUGCAGUAUACGCCAACAUGUAACAUCGUUGAAUUCAGUGGAGGAACAGCUUCAGUCCCUCUGCAUGUUGUCUAACUGAUGUUGGUCAAGAAAAUUGUUAAAAAUAUUGCUUUUUUUCUGUAUAUAAUAUAUUACAUUAUUUUUCUGUCUCUUGUGAUUCACAUAGAAUGUUAUUCAUGGCUAAAAAUAGCAGUAAUAGAAUUAAUGCAACAGUUUCCAUCUAUCAUUUUGAGUUGUGACAACAUAGAAUGAGUUUAUUAUUUAACCAAUGAACUAUAUUAAGUAAGGUGACUUAGCUUUUUCUCUACAAUGAAAGGUAUUUUUAAUUACCACCUACUUAAUAAUUGGUAGCAUAAAACGUUUUUUAUCUAAAAGGCAUUUUAAGUGUCAUGUACUUAAUAACUUCAAUGAUGGUUUUUAAGUUGACACACACUUUUUAAUUUUGUUUAUGUAAGAAAUUAAUUAAUUUGAUAAAAAAAAACUGUUUGUAUUGUGUAUGUGUUAUUUUGAACUGCAGUUUAACAGUGUUUGAACACACAAUAUUUAAAACUUGGAAAACAAUAACAACACAAAUUUAAAUUGUCCCAUACAUGGCCACCAAUCUUCUCAAGGUCCUGCAGUCUUUUUUACACAUUAUAGGAAAGACUUUUCAGAUAAAUUUGACAAAAACUGUAACAAACAGCAACAGACUGUCACUAUCAAUGUACAUUUAAGUUCCAAUAGCUCAGAUUCACGUCAGCAAAGCACAGCACUUUGGGAUAUCCUUGCCCUCCAGGAUUUUGGUUCCCUCGACCUCACGAUUCUGGGUGGCAGCACUGAUGGCGGCAGUUUUCAUCAGUUGUCUAUUGAGGCCUGCCUCAAACGCUUCUGUGUCCCUGUAUAGCAAAUUAAAAGAAAACAUUUGAUUUUGAUUUGAUUUGUUAAUACAUUGAAAGUAUUUUCCCAUGCCAUUGCUGUCAACGCCUAUCUGAACAGACCAUUGUUAUGAUAUUACAGAUUGGGGUGGGCCCUGAAGUGCAAUAUACGUCUGGUCACACGCUUUAAUUGACAAGAAGCAGAUUUCUGCCCUGUGUAUUUACACUGCCCAAUGUGGAUUUCAUUUUCUUUCAAAAUGUUGAAUUGCUUACUCUAAACUCCUUGAGAACAGUCCUCUUCCUUUUCUCCAAUUUUUGAAUUGGUGACUGUCAACAAAGAUAAGCCUAAUAAUUUCCAUACCUAGAGAAGCAUGUCUUUUAUAUGUACAAUUGUCACUCCUGUAGCUCCUGUCCUUGAUGAGACUACAUCCAUCAUUUUUGAUGUGCAAUGGUCAAGUUUGGCCAUUUUCAUUGGAAUUCUUUAUUUAUCUGUAGACCACACAAAUGGAAGAAUUCAGUCUUGCUGACAAUUAGCUAUACUGCAUCAAUUAAUACUAAAACACAUGAGUUAAAGAGGAACAACUCAUCAACCUAUGUGAACUCUGACAUACAGUGGUUAAAUAAGCAGGGCAUUGAAAUGAGUCUUAACUGUCUGAAUUUGCCCAGGCAUGUGAUGUGGGUAGGGGAGGGGACUUGAAGUGGAGAAAAAUUAAGUUAUCAAGCAAAUUUUAUUUAGUUGUUACAACUUGACUUUUGUUUUAAACCAGUUGACGCAGAAAUGUUAGUUAAAAUUACAACAUUAUUACCAACAUUAUUAUAUCAGCAGAACUAAUAAAACAUUUUUUGCAACUUAAAGGUCUAAAUCAAUAUAUUCAACCUUAUAGCCGCAACAACAACAGCUGCUUCCGCCAGA
rnacentral:lncRNA from 15 species